rnacentral:rRNA from 1 species
GACGAACGCUGGCGGCGUGCUUAACACAUGCAAGUCGAACGGAAAGGCCCUGCUUUUGUGGGGUGCUCGAGUGGCGAACGGGUGAGUAACACGUGAGUAACCUGCCCUUGACUUUGGGAUAACUUCAGGAGACUGGGGCUAAUACCGGAUAGGAGCUCCUGCUGCAUGGUGGGGGUUGGAAAGUUUCGGCGGUUGGGGAUGGACUCGCGGCUUAUCAGCUUGUUGGUGGGGUAGUGGUUUACCAAGGCUUUGACGGGUAGCCGGCCUGAGAGGGUGACCGGCCACAUUGGGACUGAGAUACGGCCCAGACUCCUACGGGAGGCAGCAGUGGGGAAUAUUGCACAAUGGGCGGAAGCCUGAUGCAGCAACGCCGCGUGCGGGAUGACGGCCUUCGGGUUGUAAACCGCUUUCGCCUGUGACGAAGCGUGAGUGACGGUAAUGGGUAAAGAAGCACCGGCUAACUACGUG